CAAUCUCGUUCCCCGAGCCUGCGAUCCUCGGAAAGGAAUGCGAGGCUCUGGGAUAAUCCGUUGCCAGAAGCCAAGAAUCCUGGCUAAGAUUGAACUACGCAUUUCAUAUCAACGGCCAAUCAAAUUCCUCCCUGAAACGGAUUAUCCCAGAGCCUCACGUUCCUUCCCGAGGAUCGCAGGCUCGGGGAACGAGAUUGGAAAUGAAUGGAUUUGUGAAAUUGAGAGCCGUUUCAAAAUUGUCUACUUUUU